rfam:Bombyx mori DNA, contig: Bm_scaf96_contig35349, strain: p50T/Dazao, build 2, whole genome shotgun sequence.
UUAACACAAAUUUGUAUGGAGUUGAACGCUUGCCUUCGUUUGCCGCUAGGGGCUCUGUUCAAACUCCAUACAAAUUUGAGUUA